AAACUGCUUGCCUCCAAAUCCUUGUCUCAGGCCUGCAUGUGGAGAGAUAAAACCCAGACAAAGAGGCAGACAUGAGCAGAUUAGCUCCCCCGAACAGGAGACAAGUGGGCUGAGAGGUGAAGGAAAAGGAUGAGCUCCAGCAGCCUAAGGGCUAUCCUCUGAAGCAGAGUCACAGAGCCGAGUGUAGCAAGAAAAGGCUCGGUGAUGCUGGGGAGGCAGCGCCGGCAGUCAGAAGAAUCCAAAGGAGCCUUGGCAGCCUCACUGCAGACAAACCUGUCUCCACUGACUGCCCUACUCAGACUCUGCCUGUCUGUGGUGGCCCACUCUCCUUGGGGUGAAUCAGCCUGGGAGUUUCAUUAAAGUGAAGGGGACAGGGGGAUUGUGGGCAGUGUUGGGACCCAGUAAAGCCCUGGGCUUAAUGGAUCAGAACCAAAACCCCAGCUCCACGUGGGCAGCCCUCAGUUUUCAUGGGCCAACCCUUUCUGAGAAACCCAGCCAGAGAGGAGCACAGGACCAGCAACAGGGGAUGCUUCUAAACCCAUAUCUCACUUGAUAAGCUCAUCACCUUCCAAGCCUCUGAAGAACGUUUACGUUCCUAUAAGUUUCUGAAGCCACGUUCAAAUCGUAACUCUACCACCAAUGAGCUGCAUGCUGGAGGGGAAGUGAAUUCACCCCAGACCUGAGUUCCACAUCCCUAAACUGGGUGAGAGGGCCUCCGCCCAGGCUCUCCAUGAGGAUGACCUGCACCAUGUGCCUUUAAUGCAUUUAGAGUAGCAGAUGCCUCAGUAAACACUCACUGCCAUUCUGCGAUCGUUAUUGCAUUCACUUCCUGGGGCUGCUGCAACAAAGUACCACAACCUGGUGGUGAAAACAGCAGACCCUGACUGUGCCAUUGUUCUGGAUGCUGGACGUCUGAAAUCAAGGUGUGGGCAGGGCUGGUUCCUUCCCAGGACUGUGAGGAAGACUGUUCCACGCCUCUCUGCAGCUCCGGGUGGUUUGCAGGCAAGCUUUCCAUUGCUGGCUUUGCAGACACAUCACCCAGUCUCUGCCUUCAUGUUCACAUGGCGCUCUCCCUGGGUGUGUGUGUCUGCGUCCCAGCCUCCCCUGUUUAUAAGGACAUAGUCGCAUUACAUGACUACUAUUACUCUAAUAGGGCCUCAUCUUAACUAACUACAUCUGCAAAUAGCCCAUUGCCACAUAAGGUAGCAUUCUGAAGUACUGGGGGCUAGGACAUCAACAUAGGAAUUUGGGGAGCACAUAAUUCAACCCAUGAUAAUGAUCAUCAUGAUUAUUAUUAAAAAUAUAUAACCACUGUAGGAUGAAAGCAAAUACCGUAAAAUCCUACUCGUAGGUUUGCAGGGAUUAAAUGGCAUCACUGGAAAAUUGUCUGACACAAAGAAGGGGUUCAACAAAUGUUGUUUUACUUCCUCACUGUCAGCCUAAAUAUAGAAAGUAUUUGCUCAUUGGCCCGACAGACAAGUUUUGACUUCUAGUUUUAUACCAGCUUUAUGUAUACAUGCUUAUAUGUCGUAUGUGACAUUUUGUACAUAUAAACAUUAGUUCUGCCUUCUAAUGCUAUUUUGAAAUCACCUUUCCCUUGUUAAAGUGUUCUUUUGAAAUUAUAUAAAAUAGCUGAAUAAUAUUUUAAAGCCAAAAUGCUAAAUUUACUUGCCAUGUUUUAUAAUUUGCUUACAUUCAGAUGGUGUACCAUCUUGUGUUCUGUUAUGAAAUAGCACAACCAUGCAUAAAUGACCCUGCCAUCCUACCCCUAGAACUUUAUUUACCAUGAAAUGCCUCCACGUACUUUCAUUUGCAUGUCUUGAGAACUGAACCGUAGACCCCUCUUCCCUGUCAGUGUUGACCAUCAAUAUUUCCUCCCACAUGUGGCUUCUGUUUCUGUCUCUGGGCAGAUUUAUUCUAACCUGUCCUCAAAUCUGUAAGAAGAUUGUUCAUUCUCUAGGGCUAGUCCAAGUCUCCUGGCCUGGUGCUUACUUCAAAUUUACUUAAAUCUGGCAUAAAAGCUUUCAGGACAAGGUGGAUCAAACUGCACCCUUGUGUGAGUACUCCCUGGACAGAAUGUCUGGUCAUCUUUGGUGUAAAUUAUUUCCCAUGACUCACAAAUAGAAAUCAGGAGAGGAGGGAGGUAGGAGGUGCAAGCCUCUGCAGCUGUCUGGAGAGUCAGCAAAAGGGAGACAGAAUCUUUAGUUACUUCACAUGUGUAACAAUACGCCUAUGUUUUGUUUUAUGUUGUUUAUUUCUUAUGUAACAUUGUUGAGUUAUCAAAUGAAGUGGUGUAUAAAAAUGUCAAAUAAGCAGGUUCUCUCCCUUU
rnacentral:lncRNA from 1 species